rnacentral:tRNA from 1 species
GGGCGAUUAGCUCAGUUGGCUAGAGCAUUUGGUUUACACCCAAAGUGUCGGGAGUUCGAGUCUCUCAUCGCCCACCA